CGUCGGUUUCUCCGCGACGGUCAACCGUGAACCCCGCCAGGCCCGGAAGGGAGCAACGGUAGCGGCGCAACCGGGCGCCGGAGAGGUGCCGGCGCGG
rnacentral:SRP_RNA from 1 species